CUACGGGAUGCUGCAGUGGGGAAUAUUGCACAAUGGAGGAAACUCUGAUGCAGCAACGCCGCGUGGAGGAUGACACUUUUCGGAGCGUAAACUCCUUUUAUAUAGGAAGAAGAUGACGGUACUAUAUGAAUAAGCGCCGGCUAACUCCGUGCCAGCAGCCGCGGUAAUACGGAGGGCGCAAGCGUUACUCGGAAUCACUGGGCGUAAAGAGCGUGUAGGCGGAUUAAAAAGUCAGAAGUGAAAUCCUAUAGCUUAACUAUAGAACUGCUUCUGAAACUCUUAAUCUAGAAUGUGGGAGAGGUAGAUGGAAUUUCUGGUGUAAGGGUAAAAUCCGUAGAGAUCAGAAGGAAUACCGAUUGCGAAGGCGAUCUACUAGAACAUUAUUGACGCUGAGACGCGAAAGCGUGGGGAGCAAACAGGAUUAGAUACCUGUGUAGUC
rnacentral:rRNA from 1 species